AUGCAGAAGCUUACACUGCCCAAAUGGCAUUAAAACCUUGCUGAGUAAUCUCAUCAUAAAACAAAACAUGCUGGAAUACAGUGCUCCGCCUCCCACCAAUUUGAUUUUCAAGAGGAAUAAAUCCAUUUGACAGCAGGAGAAAGGGGAGUAGAAGAGAUGGAGACUGCCGGGAGAAAGGAGGGGAGGAAGGAGACAUCGGACAGCCUCCACUACUGAGUGAGGCGUGGGGUGUGCCGGGGCAGAGGGGGCCGUUAAAACACUGAAGUCUAGUCUAGUUUUUCUGUUCGA
rnacentral:lncRNA from 1 species